CACUGUCUGUGGCUAAGCGAAAGCGAUAAGUGAUCCACCUGGGGAGUACGUCCGCAAGGAUGAAACUCAAAGGAAUUGACGGGGGCCCGCACAAGCGGAGGAACAUGUGGUUUAACUCGAUGAUACGCGAGGAACCUUACCCGGGCUUGAAAUGCAUCUGACAGGAGCAGAGACGCUCUCUCCCUUCGGGGCAGAUGUGUAGGUGCUGCAUGGUUGUCGUCAGCUCGUGCCGUGAGGUGUCGGCUUAAGUGCCAUAACGAGCGCAACCCUCAUCAUUAGUUACCAUCAGGUUAAGCUGGGGACUCUAAUGAGACUGCCAUCGUAAGAUGUGAGGAAGGUGGGGAUGACGUCAAAUCAGCACGGCCCUUACGUCCGGGGCGACACACGUGUUACAAUGGAUGGUACAAAGGGCAGCUACAUGGCGACAUGAUGCUAAUCUCCAAAACCAUUCUCAGUUCGGAUCGAAGUCUGCAACUCGACUUCGUGAAGCUGGAUUCGCUAGUAAUCGCGCAUCAGCCACGGCGCGGUGAAUACGUUCCCGGGCCUUGUACACACCGCCCGUCAAGCCAUGGAAGCCGGGGGUACCUGAAGUUCGUAACCGUCAAAGGAGCGACCUAGGGUAAAACUGGUGACUGGGGCUAAGUCGUAAC
rnacentral:rRNA from 1 species